CAGUUCUCAUUUAAUCACCAAAGUUAAGCAGUGUUGACUCUGGUCAGUACUUGGAUGGGAGACCACUUGGGAACACUAGGUACUGUAAG